UGAGUGGCGGACGGGUGAGUAACACGUGGGUAACCUWCCCUUAAGUGGGGGAUAACAUUUGGAAACAGAUGCUAAUACCGCAUAACCAUUCAGACCACAUGGUCUGAAUGUAAAAGACGGCCUUUGGCUGUCACUUUUGGACGGACCCGCGGCGUAUUAGUUAGUUGGUAAGGUAACGGCUUACCAAGACAAUGAUACGUAGCCGACCUGAGAGGGUAAUCGGCCACAUUGGGACUGAGACACGGCCCAAACUCCUACGGGAGGCAGCAGUAGGGAAUCUUCCACAAUGGACGAAAGUCUGAUGGAGCAACGCCGCGUGAGUGAAGAAGGUUUUAGGAUCGUAAAACUCUGUUGUUGGAGAAGAACAGGGACUAGAGUAACUGUUAGUCCUUUGACGGUAUCCAACCAGAAAGCCACGGCUAACUACGUGCCAGCAGCCGCGGUAAUACGUAGGUGGCAAGCGUUGUCCGGAUUUAUUGGGCGUAAAGCGAGCGCAGGCGGUUUUUUAAGUCUGAUGUGAAAGCCUUCGGCUUAACCGAAGAAGUGCAUUAGAAACUGGGAAACUUGAGUGCAGAAGAGGACAGUGGAACUCCAUGUGUAGCGGUGAAAUGCGUAGAUAUAUGGAAGAACACCAGUGGCGAAGGCGGCUGUCUGG
rnacentral:rRNA from 1 species